rnacentral:rRNA from 1 species
GUGUCAGCCGCCGCGGUAACACGUAGGGGCCAAGCGUUGUCCGGAUUUAUUGGGCGUAAAGAGCUCGUAGGCGGUUCGACAAGUCGGGUGUGAAAACUCCGGGCUCAACCCGGAGACGCCACCCGAUACUGUCGUGACUGGAGUCCGGUAGGGGAGUGGGGAAUUCCUGGUGUAGCGGUGAAAUGCGCAGAUAUCAGGAGGAACACCGGUGGCGAAGGCGCCACUCUGGGCCGGUACUGACGCUGAGGAGCGAAAGCGUGGGUAGCAAACAGGAUUAGAAACCCCCGUAGUCC